UUCAGAGUGAUGUAGUGGUUUGAGUGUUGGACUCUGGCUCUGAAGACCAGGGUUCAAAUCCCCACUCAGUCA